UCCAGAAGGCGGUCACUGGACGCGCGUGUUACAGAGCCCGUUUUUGUUUUGUUUAAAAAGCAGAUUCCUAUCAGAGCCCAGCCUCCCCACUCCCGGGGGGAUAGGGGGAAGUGGCAGCAGGGGGCCGGCGUGCAGAGCGAGAAUAAAAGAAUGACCGCGUACAACCUGCCGUGCCAGCUAACAGCGGAGGGCAGGAAAGCUCACAUCUUUCAAAGGGACCACAUGGAACGAGAGAAAGGGCGACUCUCAGACAGCAGCUUCUCUGAAAUAACCUUUCCAGUGAAUGAGAUGACAGAGGUGUCAGCCAGAUAGAGCUCUGUUGACCCAGGAAUGAGACCCACCUCUGUUGGGAAAAUUCCAUGGUGAGCCUGCUUGGAAGCUGAGACCUAAGUGUGAGGAAGCACUGUCCAGCCUAGAACAAGGAGAGGGAUUUGUUGAUUGCGCUGGAGAGGGCUUUGGGGAGGUGGAGCUGUUGAGAUGACAGAAAGCUGGCUGUGCCCUGUGAGAUGCAUCCGACCAGCGACCUCACAAACCCUUGGCAAAGUGAUUAACCUCACACAGUACUUGGCAGAUAAGGAACUCAGUGGAAACAGUGGAAAGAGCGCUCCUGACGUCCAUCUUUGCCUAAGGCAGCAGCACAGGGGGCCCUGAGGAAGCAAGAUUCCAGGGAGUCACAGAGAUCUCAAAGCAGGCUCUGGACUCGCACAGUCCAUAAAUUACGUGGGUGCCAGCACCCAGUUUUCCUAAGUCUCCGAAGGGUGGGAAGGCCCCAAUCCCAUCUGGU